rnacentral:rRNA from 1 species
AUUGAACGCUGGCGGCAGGCUUAACACAUGCAAGUCGAGCGAGCGGCGGACGGGUGAGUAAUGUCUGGGAAACUGCCUGAUGGAGGGGGAUAACUACUGGAAAAGGUGGCUAAUACCGCAUACCAUCAGAUGUGCCCAGAUGGGAUUAGGUAGUAGGUGGGGUAAUGGCUCACCUAGGCGACUAUCCCUAGCUGGUCUGAGAGGAUGACCAGCCACACUGGAACUGAGACACUGUCCAGACUCCUACGGGAGGCAGCAGUGGGGAAUAUUGCACAAUUGGCGCAAGCCUGAUGCAGCCAUGCCGCGUGUAUGAAGAAGGCCUUCGGGUUGUAAAGUUCUUUCGGUAGCGAGGCGUUAACUACAGAAGAAGCACCGGCUAACUCCGUGCCAGCAGCCGCGGUAAUAC